rnacentral:lncRNA from 1 species
AGUGAGGGAAGUGGGCCGGGAGGAGAGAUGGGCGGUGAAGAGGCCCGGCCCUGCCAGGGAGGCGGGCGGAUCCGUGGCAGUGACCAGAAGGGGCCGGAAGGGGGUGGCCGCCGGCCGGGCCCCGCCCUGGGGCCGCCUCCCCGCGGGUUCCGUUGGCUGUGGCGGCAGCUGACGCUUGUGGCGGCGGUGGCUUCGGGGUGGGCGUAAGAUGGCGACAGCAGCGCAGGGACCCCUAAGCUUGCUGUGGGGCUGGCUGUGGAGCGAGCGCUUCUGGCUACCCGAGAACGUGAGCUGGGCUGAUCUGGAGGGGCCGGCCGACGGCUACGGUUACCCCCGCGGCCGGCACAUCCUCUCGGUGUUCCCGCUGGCGGCGGGCAUCUUCUUCGUGAGGCUGCUCUUCGAGCGAUGGAGUCUCGCUCUGUUACCCAGGCCAGAGAGAGUGCAAUGGCGUGAUCUCAGCUCAUUGUAAUUUCCGCCUCCUGGAUUUAUUGCCAAACCCUGUGCACUCUGUAUUGGCAUCGA